rnacentral:rRNA from 1 species
UUUUAAUAUAUCUAGUUUUUUAAGAAAUUAAUUUAAUUUAGAUAUUUAAUUUUAACAUUUUAAUUUUUAAAAAUGUUAUAAAUAAAUAUUAAUAUUUUAAGGGAUGAGCUUUAAAAUAAAAUUUUAUAAAUGAAUUUUAUUAAUUAAUAAUUGUAAGCUUAGAAAUAGCUAUCAAUAGAAAUUAUGUUUUAAUUUAUUUUAAUUUUUAAUAUUAUUUAGUAUUUAUUUUAUUUUUUUUAUUAAAAUAUAACUUUUAAUUUUGUAAAUUUAGAAAUAAUGAUAAAAUUAGUAAAUUAAUUAAAUAUAAAAAUAAAUUUUUGAAAUGGUUGGUUUUUAUAAUUAAUUCGGCAAAUUUUGUGCUCACCUGUUUAUCAAAAACAUGUCUUUUUAGAAUUUUAUAUAAAGUCUGACCUGCCCACUGAAUAAAGUUUGAAGGGCCGCAGUAUUUUGACUGUGCAAAGGUAGCAUAAUCAUUAGUCUUUUAAUUGAAGGCUGGUAUGAAUGGUUGGAUGAGGUACAAGCUGUGUCAUAAAAAUUAAAAUUUGAAUUUAACUUUUUAGUCAAAAGGCUAAAAUAAUUUUAAAAGACGAGAAGACCCUAUAGAGCUUUAUAUAAUAAAUAUUUAAAUUAUUAAGAUUUUUAAAAUUUAAUUUUAAUAUUAUAUUUUGUUGGGGUGACAAUAAAAUUUAUAAAACUUUUAUUUAUAUUUAACAUUAAUUUAUGAUUACAUGAUCCAGUUUUAUUGAUUAUAAAUUUAAGUUACCUUAGGGAUAACAGCGUAAUUUUUUUUGAGAGUUCUUAUCGACAAAAAAGAUUGCGACCUCGAUGUUGGAUUAAGAGUAAUUUUGGGUGUAGAAGUUCAAAGUUUAAGUCUGUUCGACUUUUAAAUUCUUACAU